CUUUUAUAUCGUUCCAGCAGGCGGCGCUGGAGUUCCAGAAAUACUCUUCAGUUCAACUCAUGAAGCACUAGGAAAUAUGAUGUAGCUGGUUACAGAGGAGGGCAUUAAUAAAAGAGUCUAGUGAACUGUUGUUUGAGUCAAGCACUUAGAGCCACUCAGUGUUUUGUGUUCAUUCAGGCAGACAGGAGGACAACAUGCCAACAUUAUUCCUUUUCUCUUGGCUUAUUGGUGUUUGUCUGGGUGUUGAAGUCUACCAAACUCCUCCAGAACUUCUCAGAAGACCUGGAGACAAAGUCGAGCUGGUCUGCAGCCAUGAAAGGACCGACUACACACUCAUGCAGUGGUACCAGAAAUCCGCUGGAGACAGAGCUCUGAAACGCAUUGGACAUGUGUAUUACAGCAACAUAGAGCAUGAGAAGUCUUUCGAAGAGCAUUUUAACAUCACUGGAGAUAUGAGUGGAGACAGAGCAAAGAACGGCUCUCUGGUUAUAUACAACCUGAAGGCCCCUGAGCACAGUGCGGUGUACUACUGUGCAGCUAGCUAUGCACACUGACUGAACAUCCCCUCUCCCUUAGACAAAAACUCUCAACCAACUUUUAUCAACAUGUAUGGUUUUGAAUAAGAACCCCUCCCAGCCAGCUGCUCUUGAUUCGCUGCCAUCGUCUGUCAGACGUUAUACAGUGAUGCCGUUUCAUCUUCACUUCCUUUUCCGUUUCAGUAGACGCCUCAUUUGGAUCUCCAUCACUCACAGGACCCAGGUUGAUAUUAUUGUCAGCGACUUACACCUCUAAAACUCUAUGAUACAUACUUCGGAAAAGUAAUCUAAAAAGGUGUUUGAGUAACGUAUUCAUUUUGAGCAAG